UACGAAGGGGGCUAGCGUUGCUCGGAAUGACUGGGCGUAAAGGGCGCGUAGGCGGAUGGCACAGUCAGAUGUGAAAUUCCCGGGCUUAACCUGGGGGCUGCAUUUGAUACGUGUUGUCUUGAGUUCGGAAGAGGGUCGUGGAAUUCCACGUGUAGCAGUGAAAUGCGUAGAGAUGUGGAGGAACACCGAUGGCGAAGGCAGCCCCCUGGGUUAACACUGACGCUCAGGCACGAAAGCGUGGGGAGCAAACAGG
rnacentral:rRNA from 1 species